GCUUUGGAGUUGACGUCACGCCGCAGUGCAUUGUGGGAUCGCGGCGCCAUGUCAGUAGGCUAGAAAGCAAAACAAGCGCACAGUGUUGGAGUGUUGGAAUCUGGACUGCCAGAACCAUGCUCAAAAUCAGCACAAAAGACAAAGGGCUGUAUCGCGACCGAUUGCGCCCAGACGCCAAGAGACGGUACUUUGAAAAAAUUGCGUGCAUCGGUAAUGUGGACCCGUAUGAAAUAAGGAAGUGGAGUGGAAACCCAGACGACCUACCGCCUUUGUCCUAUCCCGAUAUCUUCGCAUACCUUGUCUGUGGAGUCAGCGCAUACACAGCAAACCAGUUUAAGAAUUAUAAAUCCCUGGAGGCCCACAUCCAAUUCACGAACGGCUGGGUGCAAGAUUUGUCCGUCUUUAAGCCUCCACGCUGCGAGUACGUUGUCGUUAGGACAUAGGUACUGCACUCACAACGACUGAAUGAAACUGCAUUACAGCCAUGGGUCAUUGUGAGCACCAAUGAGAGGGUUGAGGCUGCUCACUGCACAUGCAUGGCCGGAGUUGCAGAGACCUGCACCCAUGUCGCUGCUCUUUUGUUUAAAGUCGAGGCUACAGUGCGUAUCAGAGGCACCAGAACUGUAACAGACGAGCCAGCAUAUUGGGUAUUGCCUGGAAAUAUGACCAAGAUACAGCCCGAGGUUGCACAUAACAUUGACUUCUCCUCAGCAGCUGCCCAAAAACGUGGUCUUGAUGAAAACAUAAACACACCCUCCUUUUGCCUUUGAGAGGCAAAAGGAGGCGAUUGCAAAAAAGGCAGAUUCCUAUUGCAACGCUGGAGAAUUUGUCACCAUUACUGGAUACACUACUGUCAGGUACAAACACAAAUCUUUGUUA